rnacentral:rRNA from 1 species
GACGAACGCUGGCGGCGUGCUUAACACAUGCAAGUCGAACGAAGAGCGACGGAAGCUUGCUUCUAUCAAUCUUAGUGGCGCACGGGUGAGUAACGCGUAAUCAACCUGCCCUUCAGAGGGGGACAACAGUUGGAAACGACUGCUAAUACCGCAUACGAUCUAACCUCGGCAUCGAGGAUAGAUGAAAGGUGGCCUCUACAUGUAAGCUAUCACUGAAGGAGGGGAUUGCGUCUGAUUAGCUAGUUGGAGGGGUAACGGCCCACCAAGGCGAUGAUCAGUAGCCGGUCUGAGAGGAUGAACGGCCACAUUGGGACUGAGACACGGCCCAGACUCCUACGGGAGGCAGCAGUGGGGAAUCUUCCGCAAUGGACGAAAGGCUGACGGAGCAACGCCGCGUGAGUGAUGACGGCCUUCGGGUUGUAAAGCUCUGUUAGUCGGGACGAAAGGCCUUCUUGCGAAUAGUGAGAAGGAUUGACGGUACCGGAAUAGAAAGCCACGGCUAACUACGUG